AUUGAACGCUGGCGGCAGGCCUAACACAUGCAAGUCGAACGAGUGGCGGACGGGUGAGUAAUGUCUGGGAAACUGCCUGAUGGAGGGGGAUAACUACUGGAAACGGUAGGUAAUACCACAUACCAUCGGAUGUGCCCAGAUGGGAUUAGCUAGUAGGUGGGGUAAAGGCUCACCUAGGCGACGAUCCCUAGCUGGUAUGAGAGGAUGACCAGCCACACUGGAACUGAGACACGGGUCAGACUCCGACGGGAGGCAGCAGUGGGGAAUAUUGAAACAUGGGGGGAAGCCUGAUACAGCCAGGCCGCGUGUAUGAAGAAGGCCUUCGGGUUGUAAAGUACUUGCAGCGGGGAGGCGUUACCCGCAGAAGAAUCACCGGCUAACUCCGUGCCAGCAGCCGCGGUAAUUC
rnacentral:rRNA from 1 species